rnacentral:misc_RNA from 1 species
GAUGAAGAACGUAGCGAAAUGCGAUAAGUAAUGUGAAUUGCAGAAUUCAGUGAAUCAUCGAAUCUUUGAACGCACAUUGCGCCCGCCAGUAUUCUGGCGGGCAUGCCUGUUCGAGCGUCAUUUCAACCAUCAAGCCCCAGGCUUGUGUUGGGGACCUGCGGCUGCCGCAGGCCCUGAAAACCAGUGGCGGGCUCGCUGUCACACCGGGCGUAGUAGAUUUUAUCUCGCUCAGGGCGUGCUGCGGGUUCCGGCCGUUAAAAAGCCUUUUUUACCCAAGGUUGACCUCGGAUCAGGUAGGAAUACCCGCUGAACUUAAGCAUAUCAAUAAGCGAGGA